AACUAGGCGAUUUUAGCGAAUCCAGUGGGCUACUGGUUCGGAUAGACGAACACGCACAGCUACUGGGCUAUAAAGCCCAUUUUUUAGGAGUUUACUGGGCCUUCAGGUUUUGCUUCCCUUUUUUUUUUCGCGGUAGCUUUUGCUUCCUUUGACUUGUGGGCUGUGGCCAACACCCUCCUUUUCAAUAGCACAUAAACUAAUCUUUUUUCCAUUGCUCAGUUAUUGCAAUUUUCACUGUGAAAACCCCAAAUUUAAUUUUCACGUCUUCACUCAUAGAAUUUUCAUGCUGUGAAAUUCUUGUUGCUCUUCAGGAAAAGAAACACAAUAUAUCAUAUGAAUUCCAAUUUUAUCAGAUGUCUCCAAAGAGAAUAUAUCAUAUGAAUUCUGUAUGAUGUAAGGACAACUCAGGUGGGCAUCUGCUUGAUACACUCCCAGCUGACUGACCGCAAAAGGAUGACAUAUUGGGUGUGUUUAGAUCCACCAAAUUUUGGGAGAAAAAUGGCACAUCGGAUACUAUAUCACACUGUAGCAUUUUUCAUUUGUUUGUGAUAAAUAUUUUCCUACCAUGAUCUAACUAGGCUCAAAAGAUUCGUCUCGCAACGUACAUCAAAACUAUGCAAUUAGUUUUUUUA